rnacentral:rRNA from 1 species
CGAAAACGAAUUCUCUCUUGAGUGGAUCCUGAGUACGACGGAGCACGUGAAAUUCCGUCGGAAUCUGGGAGGACCAUCUCCUAAGGCUAAAUACUCUCUAGUGACCGAUAGUGAACCAGUACCGUGAGGGAAAGGUGAAAAGUACCCCGGAAGGGGAGUGAAAGAGAACUUGAAACCGUGUGCUUACAAGUAGUCAGAGCCCGUUAAUGGGUGAUGGCGUGCCUUUUGUAGAAUGAACCGGCGAGUUACGAUCUGAUGCAAGGUUAAGCAGAAAAUGUGGAGCCGUAGCGAAAGCGAGUCUGAAUAGGGCGAAUGAGUAUUUGGUCGUAGACCCGAAACCAGGUGAUCUACCCUUGGUCAGGUUGAAGUUCAGGUAACACUGAAUGGAGGACCGAACCGACUUACGUUGAAAAGUGAGCGGAUGAACUGAGGGUAGCGGAGAAAUUCCAAUCGAACUUGGAGAUAGCUGGUUCUCUCCGAAAUAGCUUUAGGGCUAGCCUCAAGUGAUGAUUAUUGGAGGUAGAGCACUGUUUGGACGAGGGGCCCCUCUCGGGUUACCGAAUUCAGACAAACUCCGAAUGCCAAAUAAUUUAACUUGGGAGUCAGAAUGUGGGUGAUAAGGUCCAUAUUCGAAAGGGAAACAGCCCAGACCACCAGCUAAGGUCCCAAAAUAUAUGUUAAGUGGAAAAGGAUGUGGCGUUGCCCAGACAACUAGGAUGUUGGCUUAGAAGCAGCCAUCAUUUAAAGAGUGCGUAAUAGCUCACUAGUCGAGUGACACUGCGCCGAAAAUGUACCGGGGCUAAACAUAUUACCGAAGCUGUGGAUUGUCCAUUGGACAAUGGUAGGAGAGCGUUCUAAGGGCGUUGAAGCAUGAUCGCAAGGACAUGUGGAGCGCUUAGAAGUGAGAAUGCCGGUGUGAGUAGCGAAAGACGGGUGAGAAUCCCGUCCACCGAUUGACUAAGGUUUCCAGAGGAAGGCUCGUCCGCUCUGGGUUAGUCGGGUCCUAAGCUGAGGCCGACAGGCGUAGGCGAUGGAUAACAGGUUGAUAUUCCUGUACCACCAUUAUUCGUUUUAAGCGAUGGGGGGACGCAGUAGGAUAGGCGAAGCGUGCUGUUGGAGUGCACGUCCAAGCAGUGAGAUUGAGUGUUAGGCAAAUCCGGCACUCUCAAGAUUGAGCUGUGAUGGGGAGAGGAACUUGUUCCUCGAGUCGUUGAUUUCACACUGCCGAGAAAAGCCUCUAGCUAGAAUAACGGUGCCCGUACCGCAAACCGACACAGGUAGUCAAGAUGAGAAUUCUAAGGUGAGCGAGCGAACUCUCGUUAAGGAACUCGGCAAAAUGACCCCGUAACUUCGGGAGAAGGGGUGCUCUUUGAGGUUCACGCUUCGAAGAGCCGCAGUGAAUAGGCCCAAGCGACUGUUUAUCAAAAACACAGGUCUCUGCUAAACCGUAAGGUGACGUAUAGGGGCUGACGCCUGCCCGGUGCUGGAAGGUUAAGAGGAGUGGUUAGCGCAAGCGAAGCUACGAAUCGAAGCCCCAGUAAACGGCGGCCGUAACUAUAACGGUCCUAAGGUAGCGAAAUUCCUUGUCGGGUAAGUUCCGACCCGCACGAAAGGCGUAACGAUUUGGGCACUGUCUCAACGAGAGACUCGGUGAAAUCAUAGUACCGGUGAAGAUGCCGGUUACCCGCGACAGGACGGAAAGACCCCGUGGAGCUUUACUGUAGCCUGAUAUUGAAAUUCGGUACAGUUUGUACAGGAUAGGUAGGAGCCUUAGAAGCGUGAGCGCUAGCUUACGUGGAGGCAUUGGUGGGAUACUACCCUAAUUGUAUUGGAUUUCUAACCCGCAGCACUUAUCGUGCUGGGAGACAGUGUCAGGCGGGCAGUUUGACUGGGGCGGUCGCCUCCUAAAGAGUAACGGAGGCGCUCAAAGGUUCCCUCAGAAUGGUUGGAAAUCAUUCAUAGAGUGUAA